GGAUAACAUACCGAAAGGUAUGCUAAUACGGGAUAAUAUAUUUGAGAGGCAUCUCUUAAAUAUCAAAGGUGAGCCAGUACAGGAUGGACCCGCGUCUGAUUAGCUAGUUGGUAAGGUAACGGCUUACCAAGGCGACGAUCAGUAGCCGACCUGAGAGGGUGAUCGGCCACAUUGGAACUGAGACACGGUCCAAACUCCUACGGGAGGCAGCAGUGGGGAAUAUUGCACAAUGGGCGAAAGCCUGAUGCAGCAACGCCGCGUGAGUGAUGAAGGCCUUCGGGUCGUAAAACUCUGUCCUCAAGGAAGAUAAUGACGGUACUCGAGGAGGAAGCCCCGGCUAACUACGUGCCAGCAGCCGCGGUAAUACGUAGGGGGCUAGCGUUAUCCGGAUUUACUGGGCGUAAAGGGUGCGUAGGCGGUCUUUCAAGUCAGGAGUGAAAGGCUACGGCUCAACCGUAGUAAGCUCUUGAAACUGGGAGACUUGAGUGCAGGAGAGGAGAGUGGAAUUCCUAGUGUAGCGGUGAAAUGCGUAGAUAUUAGGAGGAACACCAGUUGCGAAGGCGGCUCUCUGGACUGUAACUGACGCUGAGGCACGAAAGCGUGGGGAGCAAACAGGAUUAGAUACCCUGGUAGUCCACGCUGUAAACGAUGAGUACUAGGUGUCGGGGGUUACCCCCUUCGGUGCCGCAG
rnacentral:rRNA from 1 species